GUGCUCUCUUUGGCAGGAUGUAUACUAAAACUGAAGAAUACAGAGAAAAUUAGCACGGCCUCUGUGCAAGAAAGCUUUCCUCUAGGAAGGAAACCAUGACCUG
rnacentral:snRNA from 1 species